rnacentral:tRNA from 1 species
ACUAUUUUGGCAGAUGAUAUGCGUUGGAUUUAGGAUCCUAUAAGAUAGAGUAUUCUAUAAAUAGUU